rnacentral:lncRNA from 1 species
GGACAGGAAAGCCAAUCCCGGGACCUCAAAACCAGCUUGCCCUAAAGCAUGUUGGAGUGCUCAGGGGGAGCACUCUGUAUCGGAGUGCUCAGGGGAGCACUCUGUGUGAGUCAGGCAUGGGCAGCCCCUUUGGGGUUGUCUGUGACCUUUUCCAUGUCGUUUCCCCUCUCUGUCCACUUGUAGCCAUUUUGAGGAUUUUUUUAGCCAGGCUGUGCAAAAUAGCAUUUGCUUUCAGGAUGCAGGAGGGGAGCCAUUGCCAGUAGGAGCGUUGCCAGAAUCCUCAUACUGUCCCUGAAUCUGAAAAUGUCUUUUGAGCUGAGGUGUGUGUGUGGGGUACACAUCUGCCUUGACUUCAAGGUUCUAGUGAGCAUCACCCAGUAUCUCCAGGCCCUGUUCUGGGGAGUCCCUGUGACUUGGUGCAGAGGCUGGUCCACGGGUCUUCUGUCUGUCGGACUCAGUCCAUAGCAGAAACAGUUCCAGGUCUAUGUAAGGGCACUAAGCAUGCUCCAAUGCUUCUAUUUCAUUUUUGUUCUCUUCUUUCUCCUCCCCUCUUCUGUCCUUCCCUUCCCUUCCCUCCCCUUCUCCCUCUUCCUUUUUUUUUUUUUUGAGACAUAGACUCUUGCCCAGGCUAGCCUAAAAUCUACUAUGUAGCCCAGGCUGACCUGACCUCAUGGCAGUCCCCUGUCUUAGUCUCCUGAGUGGUAGCAGGAAAGGCAUGAGCCACUACACCCACCUUGAAAACUUCCAUUAUUUCUGGGCUGGCCAGCUGGUUCAGUGAGUAAAGCCAUCAUUGUGCAUGUGUGCCUGCACACAAACCGCAUGCAAGCACACACGAACACACGCACACACACACAAACACACACACACACACACACACACACACACGCCUACACACAAACCGCACACACACACAGACACGUGUGUGUGCCUGCACACAAACCACACACACACACACACACACACACACACACACACACACAUGAUAUUAACAAAAUAAAAUAACUCAUUUCAAAAACGUCCCUAUUAGAGCAUCAUUGGCUUCUGUGUCUUAACCGAGUGGCCUCUGCUCCUUUCUAUCACUGUUCUCACCUGCUCUGCACACACACUCAGUGGAAUCCUUACCAAGCCCCCAGAAACAGGGUUUUUGUUGUUGCUGUUUUGUUUUUUUCUGAUACAGGGUUUCUCUGUGUAGCCCUGGCUGCCCUGGAACUCACUCUGUAGACCAGGCUGGCCUUGGACUCUGAGAUUCAUGCCUGCUUCUACCUCUCUGAGAUUAAAGGCGUGCACCACCACCUCCUGGCCCUAUAGAAUAAUUUUUAAUGGUGACACCAGAGGCCAUUGAAUGGAUUUGUUGAACAUUUAAUUUUAAAACAUGUCAUUAAGAAACAAGAGUUGGGAGAUGGCUCAGUUGGGAAAGCGCUUGCCACACAAGCAGGAAGACCUGAGUUCAAUUCUCAGUGCCCACAUGGAAUGUCAGACGCAGCAGCACGUGUGGUCCCAGGGCUGGCAAGGCAGACUGGCAGAGCCCUGGAGCCUGCUGGCUCACCAGCCUGCCCAAACCUUGGUUCCAGGGUUAGUUAGAGAUUCUGCUCAGAUACAGGGUGGAGAAGGAGCCUUCACGUGAAUACGCACAGGUACGGGUGCACACCCACAAGGCGAUACGCUGGCCAUGAGUUUCUUUGCGCGUGAAGAUACAUUACACUUCUCUCUUCUUAGAUGGUUUCCUUAGGAUAGAUUGCUAGAAGACUGAUGGCUAGAUACCAACACUCCAAAGCUCAGAAUGCUUUGAUGACCUGCAUUCCUCCGGAAAGCAGUCAUCAUGAAUGGUAAAGCCCUGAAAGCUCUCUAUGCCCAUCGAGAGGCCAGCCAUAGGCAAAGUCGUGCCGCCACAGUGGAAGACCGGGACUAUUUAAAGGCAGUGUGGUUGUCCACGCCUGCAAUCCCAGCACUGUGGAGUAGAGACAGGAGGCUCGUGAGUUCAAGGUCACCCUCCACUACAUAGUUAGAGGCCAGCCUGGACUCCGUGAGAUCCUGUCUCAAAAUAAAAGAGGCAAGACAGGCCUGUGUGCUUCUGUCAACAUGACACUCUAUGAUUUAAAGUAUGCUGUCUGAUGGAAAAUAGGUUGCAGAAAAGAAUGUUUGUAGCACUUGGGAGAGGAAAUUACUAAGUAUUGAAUGCUAAAAUUCAAAGUCCUAUUUACCCAAGGCUAACCUCUGUUUUGAGUGAGAGAAAGGAACAGGGCUGAUUCUGUCUCUCAGUGAAGUCUUCUGUGUUUGGUGAGAUGGUUCCUGUGAGCAAGAAACUUGCUUCACAGAGAGCAUAACUUCUUAAGAGAGAACCAUAUUUUGGCCAUAUGUUUUAACUUCAGCAGUUAUUUUUCGUUAUAUGGCAGAAACCACCUAUAUUGGUUGUUUGGUUUUUUUAGUACCCGUGUUUUCUAGGGAGUUGGGUGUUACUUCCAGCCCUGCUGGGAUUGGAUGAUUUUUUAAAAUUUUAUUUUAUUUUAUUUUACUUCUCUGGACACAGCUGAGAGUUUUUUGCUAGGUAUAAUCUAAGAAGGAAAGCACCCAGGAAGAAGGGCUCCGGGAGGCCAUCUAGCAGGGCAGCCUGUGAACCCAGAACUCAUGGUUUCAAGAGCUCCACUCCUGACCUCCAAACCAGUGUGGGCUGCAGGCUGGCUGCUCCCCUCAGCCAAGGAUGGCAAGAGAGAAAAGUUCCAUUUUAAAAACUGGUUAAAAGUCCUGGAGGCAGGCGCUCCGAGGAGGCAGCCAGAAUGGAAAAAGAUGCUGGAAGGAGCAGAAUUUCCUGAGGGGGCUGAGGCGGCCCUGUCCAUAUGGGACGUGUGGAAAACUUGAGAAAUGUAGAUGCAGGCUCGGAGCAGAGAGCUGGCUGUGCUCUUCCGGCAAAUCUCUCCCUCCUUCCCAGCUCCACCCCUACCCCUGCCCUGGGAGGGAGCCUUGGACCACCUCAAAGGCCUGGUAACUGUGACUCAGCCCCAAAUUUCUGUCCAGGCUCAGAAGCUU